AUGGGUUGUAAACUGCUUUUAUACGGGGAUAAAGUAUGCCACGUGUGGUUUAUUGCAGGUACCGUAUGAAUAAGGACCGGCUAAUUCCGUGCCAGCAGCCGCGGUAAUACGGAAGGUCCGGGCGUUAUCCGGAUUUAUUGGGUUUAAAGGGAGCGUAGGCCGGGUUUUAAGCGUGCCGUGAAAUGUCGGGGCUCAACCUUGACACUGCGGCGCGAACUGGAGUCCUUGAGUGCGCGGAACGUAUGCGGAAUUCGUGGUGUAGCGGUGAAAUGCUUAGAUAUCACGAAGAACCCCGAUUGCGAAGGCAGCAUACGGCAGCGCUACUGACGCUGAAGCUCGAAGGCGCGGGUAUCGAACAGGAUUAGAUACCCUGGUAGUCCGCGCGGUAAACGAUGGAUGCCCGCUGUUGGCGAUAUAUUGUCA
rnacentral:rRNA from 1 species